rnacentral:misc_RNA from 1 species
AGCAGUCGCGGUAAUUCCAGCUCCAAUAGCGUAUAUUAAAGUUGUUGCAGUUAAAAAGCUCGUAGUUGAAUUUCGGGAUUGACACAUCGGUCGUGCCUUAAGGGGUAUGAACUGGUGUAGUCAAUUUCUCACCUUCUGGAGAACCGCGAUGCCCUUAAUUGGGUGUCGCGGGGAACCAGGACCUUUACUUUGAAAAAAUUUAGAGUGUUUAAAGCAGGCAUUUUGCUUGAAUACAUUAGCAUGGAAUAAUAAAAUAGGACGGCAUGAUUCUAUUUUGUUGGUUUCUAGGAUCACCGUAAUGAUUAAUAGGGAUAGUUGGGGGCAUUAGUAUUCAAUUGUCAGAGGUGAAAUUCUUGGAUUUAUUGAAGACUAACUACUGCGAAAGCAUUUGCCAAGGAUGUUUUCAUUAAUCAAGAACGAAAGUUAGGGGAUCGAAGACGAUCAGAUACCGUCGUAGUCUUAACCAUAAACUAUGCCGACUAGGAAUCAGACGAUGUUAAUUUUUUAAUGACUCAUUCGG